AUUCGAGUGACGGGCCCUCCUGGGUCCACCUCCCACCCGUGUCUAUCGUACCUUGUUGCUUCGGCGGGCCCGCCGUUUCGACGGCCGCCGGGGAGGCCUUGCGCCCCCGGGCCCGCGCCCGCCGAAGACCCCAACAUGAACGCUGUUCUGAAAGUAUGCAGUCUGAGUUGAUUAUCGUAAUCAGUUAAAACUUUCAACAACGGAUCUCUUGGUUCCGGCAUCGAUGAAGAACGCAGCGAAAUGCGAUAAGUAAUGUGAAUUGCAGAAUUCAGUGAAUCAUCGAGUCUUUGAACGCACAUUGCGCCCCCUGGUAUUCCGGGGGGCAUGCCUGUCCGAGCGUCAUUGCUGCCCUCAAGCACGGCUUGUGUGUUGGGCCCCCGUCCCCCUCUCCCGGGGGACGGGCCCGAAAGGCAGCGGCGGCACCGCGUCCGGUCCUCGAGCGUAUGGGGCUUUGUCACCUGCUCUGUAGGCCCGGCCGGCGCCAGCCGACACCCAACUUUAUUUUUCUAAGGUUGACCUCGGAUCAGGUAGGGAUACCCGCUGAACUUAAGCAUAUCU
rnacentral:rRNA from 1 species